AGAAAUGUGGAAAGAGCCUGGUUAUUAUAGAAAUCUCGUUGUCGGAGAAGCUCGGAUGCUGACGAAGCCUGAAAGAAGUUCGGGGGUAGUCGAUUGCUGUAGAAGGAUGGCUAACAGCGAAGCUCAGAGGGCCUUUGGGGCGGCUCGAUCGGUGAACACUGAGGCCCAUCAUCGAAGAAGUUCAGACGGUCAAGGGAGUUCGGAGAGGCAUCAUGCACA
rnacentral:lncRNA from 1 species